GAUGAACGCUGGCGGCGUGCCUAAUACAUGCAAGUCGAGCGAACGGACGAGAAGCUUGCUUUUCUGAUGUUAGCGGCGGACGGGUGAGUAACACGUGGAUAACCUACCUAUAAGACUGGGAUAACUUCGGGAAACCGGAGCUAAUACCGGAUAAUAUUUUGAACCGCAGGGUUCAAAAGUGAAAGACGGUCUUGCUGUCACUUAUAGAUGGAUCCGCGCUGCAUUAGCUAGUUGGUAAGGUAACGGCUUACCAAGGCAACGAUGCAUAGCCGACCUGAGAGGGUGAUCGGCCACACUGGAACUGAGACACGGUCCAUGCUCCUACGGGAGGCAGCAGUAGGGAAUCUUCCGCAAAGGGCGAAAGCCUGACGGAGCAACGCCGCGUGAGUGAUGAAGGUCUUCGGAUCGUAAAACUCUGUUAUUAGGGAAGAACAUAUGUGUAAGUAACUGUGCACAUCUUGACGGUACCUGAUCAGAAAGCCACGGCUAACUACGUG
rnacentral:rRNA from 1 species